rnacentral:rRNA from 1 species
CUACGGAGGGUGCAAGCGUUAAUCGGAAUUACUGGGCGUAAAGCGCGCGUAGGCGGUUUGGUAAGUCGGAUGUGAAAGCCCCGGGCUCAACCUGGGAAUUGCAUUCGAUACUGCCAGACUAGAGUAUGGUAGAGGGAAGUGGAAUUCCGGGUGUAGCGGUGAAAUGCGUAGAUAUCCGGAGGGACACCAGUGGCGAAGGCGACUUCCUGGACCAAUACUGACGCUGAGGUGCGAAAGCGUGGGGAGCAAACAGGAUUAGAAACCCCAGUAGUCC